AGAAGAAGAACGAAGAAU
rnacentral:sRNA from 1 species